rnacentral:rRNA from 1 species
GACAGAGGGUGCAAACGUUGUUCGGAAUUACUGGGCGUAAAGCGUGCGCAGGCGGUUGUGCAAGACAGAUGUGAAAUCCCCGGGCUCAACCUGGGAACUGCAUUUGUGACUGCACAGCUUGAGUGCGGCAGAGGGGGAUGGAAUUCCUAGUGUAGAGGUGAAAUUCGUAGAUAUUAGGAAGAACACCAGUGGCGAAGGCGGCUCACUGGCUCGGUACUGACGCUGAGGCGCGAAAGCGUGGGGAGCAAACAGG